GAGCAACGCAGAAGACGGGUGAUUUCUGCAUUUCCAACUGAGGAGAGAAAGAGAAGCAGAGAGGUCACGACGCAGAACUUGAUUCUGGAGCCAGAGCUGGGGCAUCUUUUCCUGGGGUCUCCAGGUUGUGAUCAUGGACAGAGGCUGGCAAGGGGAAGGAGCCACCAACUGGGAACAACCCAUAGGCCCAACAGCUCCAGAACGGGCAUCCACACCACAGAAUUCAUGCUGCAACGAGAAUGAAUAAGACGAGUGCUACGCGCAACAACACUGGUGACUGUCGCAAACACCAUGUUGCAGGAAGGACAUUACGGAUAAGAGAGUAAACAUGAUUAGGAGAUUGAAGCUCAGAGACUUGUUGGAGCUCACAGCGGCACUGGGACAUUUGGACCAAGAGCUUUUCUCCCUUCCGAGUCAGUGCAUGAUGCCAGAGAACAUCCCUGGGGUUCCCAUGGUGCUGUUAUGGCUGUCCUGUUUCUUACCCUAGAUGCUUUCAGGAAAGACUAAGAUCCUUUUCCUGGAACUGGAGCAACCUCUCUCACAUGGAGGACACCUGGACAUCUCUUUCUCUCCACCUUGUCUCUGGAUCCCUUUACAUGCUGGCUCAGGAAUCCAGAGUGAGAAUUAAGAGUGCCUACCUCAUCCUCAUGGGGGAGUUGUAAAGACCAAUGAAAAUGAUCUAUAUCUAACUUAUCAAAUGAUCUGGAACUUGAAAAGAAAAGCUGAUGGUUUGCCAAAAGAAAAUGAACUCCAAACUCUUGGGGUCUGAACUGGGUUCAAGCAUCAGAUCCAGGGGAGCCCAGGGGGAUGCUGCUUAGUCAGGGGCCUCAAAUGUUCUCUGCACAAGCCAGGACUGCUGUAACCAAGUACCAUGAAGUGCAUGGCUUAAAACAACAGCAAUGCUUUCUCUCACAGUUCUAGAGGUAGAAGCAUGAAGCCAGCUAUUGACAGGAGCAUGCUCCCACUGAAGAUAGCAAGGAGGGUGUUCAGAAAGAGGAGAGAGAGGAAGCUAAAGAGAAAAGUAAAUGAAACCAGAAUGGCCUUCUCCCCAGGACCUCCAUCCUGAGCCUUGCAGCGAGAGUGAAGAAGCAUCUGAGCUGUCCUCCAGGGACAAGCAAGGAAAAGGAUCCCCCAUUUUGGGGAGAAUCACGUGGCAAAACAGGAAAACCAGACCAGCAGAGAGGAGAGAGACCAGCAAUCAGACCCUCCCAGAGACAAUCAUUGUUAACAU